ensembl:lncRNA
GCCUGACUCUGCCUGUCCUCAUAAACUGUAAUUAAGAGCGCGGACCUGAUUUAAACUCCAUAUUUUUAGUAAGUAACGUUCCAGCAAUAAAACAGAGCUUUUAACUUGAAAGAACGAAAUCUGUUUUAAUGAUGUAAAUAAACAUCACUGUGACAGCGCUAGUCACAGUUUCACCGCAGCAAAGCCUGUACUGAUUUCUGCCCCCAAUAACCCGUUCAGUAACUUCCAAUAGCCUUUAAUAGUCUUCAGUAGCCUUCAACAGUCUAACCUGGCGGUCGUGUCAACUAAACUCCGUAGUUAUAAACAUCCUGAGGUGAAUAAAUAUUUGAUAAGGAUGUUUUCUGUUGCUGCUUGGGGCAAAAACCAAGGAUUCCCAGCAGAGCAAAAUGAAACUAUAGUCUGGCAUCCCCGGGCUCCUACUGCCAGGGCCCCUACUGCCAGGACCCCUACUGAAAGGUCCCCUACUGCCGGGGAACCUACUGGUGGGAUCACUGUAGUGGUUGACACGGCGCGUUGGAGAUAUCAGAAACAGUCGAGAAAAACAAUCGGGGUCAUUCAAAUGAUAUAUGGGGUGGUUUUUCUUGGGUUUGGAAUUGGCUUUUUAGUCUUCGCCCCGGCUGCUCUCUAUAUUGGAUUUCUUAUCUUCAACUGUCUGUCUCACUUCCUCGCCGGCUGUCUAAGUAUUGCAUCACCACUGAACAAUUCCAAUCCCUUUUUUGGAUGUCAACAUCUGUAUUCGGUGAAAAACUCUGCGUGGGCAAAUGUAAUCAGUGUUGUAGCUACAACAAUCCUGAUUGUUCUACUGCUUUUUGACUUUAUCAUGGAUUUUGGAUAUGAGUGCAGCGGAUUAUGGGAUUAUGACUGCAUAGAAGCUAAGCACCGGAUUCAUGUGCUCACAGGAUUCCUGACGGUGUUCACGUUCUUUGCCUGCUUCAGCUCCGUAAUGUUCUUAGGGAACAGAUUAAAAGGCUACUGCCCCGAAGCAACGGGAUCUGUUGUCAGUAUGCCUCCAACCCAAUCAGCUGACUCUUCAAUGCCCACUGCAUUCCAAGAUCCCGCCGGUCAUCAGGAAUCUGUUGUCAGUGUGCCUCCAACCCAAUCAGCCCACGCUUCAGCGCCCACUGCAUUCCAAGACUACACAGAUCAACGGAACUCGUGUUACAGUGAUUAUGGAACAACAGCGAUGGAUGUGCACAACACAUGUUCAGACGAUCCUCCAUCAUACGAUGAAUGUGUCCAAACAGACUGGCAAUGAAGAAGUUCUGAGAAGUCCUGAGAUGCUGUCAAGAUGCUUUUUUUCAGGUUAUAACCUCUUAAAUUAAUGUAUAUGUAUAAAUGUUCAUCACUGCUGUCAUAUUGAUCCCUUAAAUGUGCACAAUUUUCAUUAGAAUCUUUUCCAGCAUUUAAAAAAUGUGAGUAUUGCAAAACAAAUGGCCAAAGGGAAUGACUGUAAGUCAUGUAAGUGUACUGUAAAAAAAAACUAAGCGCCCUAAGUGCUGAACAAUAGUCGCUGCUUUUUUUUCACACUGUGAAGCUCCAGCUCAUCCCAAAUCACCAUCUUAGCUUAGGGUUUAGGUCAGGAGAUUGUGGAGAGUUAACACUUAUUUUGUUAACUACAUAAUUCCCUAUUUGUCCAUUAAUUGAUUUUAUACACAGUCUUUUAUAUUACAAUUCAGAAUGUGUUACAAUUCAGAAAAUACAUUAAAGAAAAAAAAAACAAGAAAAAACAUUAAAUGCUAAGGUGUGUCUAAACUUAUAUAUUACACGUAUUGCUUUACUGGUUGCGUUGUUGCCAUAUUGUUUAAAGUGUCUGUGUCAUUUGUGUCAUGUUGUAAGUUUUGUUGUAACUUUUGCUUUAAAUAAACUUAAACCUGAAAAUUCUCUUUUAUUUUUU